rnacentral:rRNA from 1 species
CCUACGGGCGGCAGCAGUGGGGAAUAUUGCGCAAUGGGCGAAAGCCUGACGCAGCGACGCCGCGUGAGGGAUGAAGGUCUUCGGAUCGUAAACCUCUGUCAGCAGGGAGGAACGGUCACUGUGCUAAUCAGCAGUGAAUUGACGGUACCUGCAAAGGAAGCACCGGCUAACUCCGUGCCAGCAGCCGCGGUAAUACGGAGGGUGCGAGCGUUAAUCGGAAUUACUGGGCGUAAAGCGCUCGUAGGCGGUAUGUCAAGUCAAGGGUGAAAUCCCCGCGCUCAACGUGGGAACUGCCUUUGAAACUGGCAAACUGGAGUGUGUGGGAGGAUAGUGGAAUUCCAGGUGUAGGAGUGAAAUGCGUAGAUAUCUGGAGGAACAUCAGUGGCGAAGGCGACUAUCUGGCACAUAACUGACGCUGAGGAGCGAAGGCGUGGGUAGCAAACAGGAUUAGAUACCCGAGUAGUC